AAGGCAAAGAGGCGCGGCUGGAAGAACCAGACUGAGAAAGUGCCACAGGGCGGGGGCCGCAUCCGCCCCUCGGCUUCUGGUUACUGACCCGACGGCUUUGUGAGUGAAAGUGAAGAGACACUUCGAGGAGGUCCUGGAACCAAUCCCCUCUGAUACUGAGAGACAACUAUUACACAAGAGAAAUAUUCUACCAUUCACAAAAUCUCGUUUAAGUGUUGUGAAAUACAAACACCAGGGAAUCAAGAACUUUAGAAAAUUGUGGCUGUGUUCCCAUAUGUGGUACAAAGAACCAGUGAGUCCCAUUUGUUGUGGUUCCUGCAUUCGAUGACUCCAGAUGUGCCACCACCGAGCUAGUCUUAUGACAACCUAGAAGGCAAAUUGGGAUGGCCCUAUAUUUGUCACUGAGAGCAGAAGGGUUGAGAACUUAGAUCCUGACAGGAGGCCCACCUUUAUUGGAGAAAUGGCUCUGCAACUUAGGACUAUUACAACUUGUAAAAAUUAGUGAGUUAUACGUGGGAAGCAUUUUGGCCUCACAAUUGAGAAGCAGAGAAGUGGUUCAAGGCUCAUGUAAGACUGCUGGGAUUUGAAAUUUAUCCUAUUAUUUGAAGACUGAAAUCAAAAUAUGAAGGUGGAGCAUCAUGUGUGCCUUCUGUCUUGUUCUCUACUAGGGUGUAAACCAUUUAACUAAAAAUAGUCUCCAAUUUGACACCUUCCCAACAUUUCACUAGUAUACUCCAAAUCUCCAUGCAGGGUUACAGACCUAUUUCAGCUGGCUCCAUUUACUCUGAGGCAGAUAAAGCUGAGAUUGCAACAUCAGAAGCAGUUCAACCAAUCAUUAUGUACAAACCUCAGCCCAUUUGUAUAAU
rnacentral:lncRNA from 10 species